CGGGGUGCAGCAGGCGCGAAAACUUUACAAUGCUGGCAACAGCGAUAAGGGGACCUCGAGUGCCAGGAUACAAUCUUGGCUGUCGCGAUGCCUAAAAAGCAUUGCAUAGCAAGGGCCGGGCAAGACCGGUGCCAGCCGCCGCGGUAACACCGGCGGCUCGAGUGGUAACCGCUAUUAUUGGGUCUAAAGGGUCUGUAGCCGGCCGGAUAAGUCUUUUGGGAAAUCCAGCUGCUUAACAGUUGGGCUUUCAGAAGAUACUGUUCGGCUCGAGACCGGGAGAGGUGAGAGGUACUUCAGGGGUAGGGGUGAAAUCUUGUAAUCCUUGAAGGACCACCAGUGGCGAAGGCGUCUCACCAGAACGGAUCUGACGGCAAGGGACGAAAGCUAGGGGCACGAACCGGAUUAGAUACCCGGGUAGUCCUAGCCGUAAACGAUACUCGCUAGGUGUCAGCCACGGUGCGACCGUGGUUGGUGCCGUAGGGAAGCCGUGAAGCGAGCCACCUGGGAAGUACGGCCGCAAGGCUGAAACUUAAAGGAAUUGGCGGGGGAG
rnacentral:rRNA from 1 species